AAGUCGUUAACAAGGGUUUUCCGUAGGUGAACCUGCGGAAGGAUCAUUAUUGAGAUAGUCAGCAAGCCUAUUAGGUCACCCAAACGCUUUGAAAGUGUUAGCGGAAUGGGCAGUAAUACAAUCGGCAUGACCGUUUGAAUCCAAGGGCAGCUAUCCACCCGUGUAUAUAUACUCUGUUGCUUUCCGGGCGUCAUACCCCGGAGAGAACCCAACUUUGAAUUUUAUGGAACGUCUGAGUACUAUAUAAUAGUCAAAAU
rnacentral:misc_RNA from 1 species